rnacentral:hammerhead_ribozyme from 1 species
AUUCAGAUGACGAGUCCCAAAAUAGGACGACAUGUGCAUGCUGGAU